rnacentral:rRNA from 1 species
GACGUAGGGUGCAAGCGUUGUCCGGAUUUAUUGGGCGUAAAGAGCUCGUAGGCGGCUUGUUGCGUCGACUGUGAAAACCCGCGGCUUAACCGCGGGCUUGCAGUUGAUACGGGCAGGCUAGAGUUCGGUAGGGGAGACUGGAAUUCCUGGUGUAGCGGUGAAAUGCGCAGAUAUCAGGAGGAACACCGAUGGCGAAGGCAGGUCUCUGGGCCACUACUGACGCUGAGAAGCGAAAGCAUGGGGAGCGAACAGG